GUCAGCUGUUGAUUAUCAGGGCAGAAAUAGAGCGCUCUGUUUUCUGGUUUGUUAACAUAUAUGCUCCAGAUUAAGGAACAGGAAGAGUAGGGUUUUUACCUUGCUAAACAAUGAGCUAAGGAAUUACCAUCAGGAUCAAUUAAUCAUUGGUGGGGAUUUCAACUGUAGACUUAACUGUGGACAGGACAAGUGAGGAACCUCAGAGCCUUAUUAAUAUCAUCACACUACUGGAUCUGUUAGAGACAUGGAUGGUCAAACAUCCACAAUCCAGACAAUACACAUGGGCGAGGGUCAGAAAUAACAUGGAGAGAGCAGCCAGACUGGACAGGGUCUGCAUUUCCCAAAGUCUCAACUCCAGACCAAUUUACAUUAACACAAGUUCAGUUGGAUUCAGUGAUCACCACUUUGUCAAUAUAGAUGCAAUUAUUUCACCAGAUGAAAGGGUGACAGGGUGAAAGUUCUAUUGGCUUUUCAGCAACCCUGUGGCAGUGAUUUAAAUGCUUCUGGCAGAAGUGGAGAAAACAGAGAAGCUGAUUUUAGUUCUUUGUAACUUUGGUGAGAAACAAAUGUGUGUUUUUUUCCCAGCAGUACAACUCCCAUUCCACUGCUAGGAUUAAGGCAGCAGUUCAGGAAUUGGACUGCCAACAUUAGGAACAUUGAAGAGGGCUUGCAUCGAACUCUGAUCCCACGAUGGGAAGUUCUUGUCAGGUCUUGUUUCCUCCACUUAAAGGAUAUUGAUGCUCCAAGCUCUUUUUUUUUUUUUCAAUCUGGAGAGAUCGGCGGUACAACAGAAACAGAUGACCUGCCUUAGGCUGCCAGGAGGCAGAAUGACCACCAGUCUGGGCGAGAUGAGGAACGAUGUGACAGACUUCUACACUGACCUCUUUGGUGCAGAACAAUGAAGAAUGUAGUGCCGCAGGGAGCUCCUGGAAGGGCUCCCUCAGCGAAGCCCAGAAGAGAAAGCUGCUCUGGACUGUGACAGUUGCUGUUAACCAGAUGGCAUCAGGACGGGCACCAAUGGUUCAUGAUCUCUCUGCUGACUUUCAUAAGUGUUUCUGGAAUAUCAUUGGCGCUGAUUUACAUGGUGUUUUGUUGGAGUGUUUCCGAACAGGAUCUCUUUCUGUCUCCUGUCAGUGAGCUGUGCUUUCCCUGCUGCCCAAGAAAGGUGACCUUACUUAAGAACUGGAGGUUCUUUCCAGAGCCUUUUCAAAACAGACUUAAGGACAUCUUGGAAAUAAUUUUACGCAUAUCAAAGCUGUCUACCUGACAGUACAAUCAUGGACAAAACUUUCUUUUUUCGAGAUGUUAUUGGUACAGGAGAUUGUACAAGAAGAAUGCCCGAUGAUACAGUGUUUACACUCUCGAAAACAGAGAAGACGUGGCCACAUCCUGGAUCUUCAGGCUAGGAUUCUCCAGAAGGUGCUGACUGGCAGGGAAAUGCCCAGACGAAGGUCACUUCGCCCUGAUGACCCCAGGAGGUUUGUUUUCUUCCCCUUGUACUGGAACCAACCAUAGAGGAACUCCAGCCAACCAAACUCAGGAGAGGGCUUGUGCCAGCAUCCCAGACAGACUGAUGAGCAGCAAUUCCCAUUGGAGCCUCAAAACUUCCCACUUCAUUGUCCAUGUUCUAUUCCUUAUCAUUUAUGUGUAUUCAUUCAUGUCUGUGUGUUGUAUACAUUUUUUUGCAUUGCUUAUUCUGUUAGAUCAUUGCACUUCUCAUCAUUAUAGUGAGAAGUACUUGACUCUUGAUACUACUGAUAACCAAUUAGUACUUGAA